AUUGAACGCUGGCGGCAUGCUUUACACAUGCAAGUCGAACGGCAGCACGGGGAGGGGCAACUCUCCCUGGUGGCGAGUGGCGAACGGGUGAGUAAUACAUCGGAACGUGUCCAGUAGUGGGGGAUAACCAAUCGAAAGAUUGGCUAAUACCGCAUACGAUCUACGGAUGAAAGCGGGGGCUCGCAAGACCUCGCGCUAUCGGAGCGGCCGAUGUCGGAUUAGCUAGUUGGCGGGGUAACGGCCCACCAAGGCGACGAUCCGUAGCUGGUCUGAGAGGAUGAUCAGCCACACUGGAACUGAGACACGGUCCAGACUCCUACGGGAGGCAGCAGUGGGGAAUUUUGGACAAUGGGCGCAAGCCUGAUCCAGCCAUGCCGCGUGAGUGAAGAAGGCCUUCGGGUUGUAAAGCUCUUUCGGCGGGGACGAAACGGUCCGUGCUAACACCACGGAUCAAUGACGGUACUCGCAGAAGAAGCACCGGCUAACUACGUGCCAGCCGCCGCAGUAACAC
rnacentral:rRNA from 1 species